UGAGCUGGCCGGGUGACCGCGCAGAAAUGUGAGGAAAGUCCGGACUCCACAGAGCACGGUGGUGGGUAACACCCACCUGGGGCGACCCACGGGACAGUGCCACAGAAAGCAGACCGCCCUGGCGACAGGGUAAGGGUGAAACGGUGGUGUAAGAGACCACCAGCACUGCGAGUGAUCGCAGUGGCUAGGCAAACCCCACCGGGAGCAAGACCAAGAAGGCCGCAAGGCCGCGUCAAUCGGGUUGCUCGCCUGAUGAUUGACGGGUAGGUCGCACGAGGCAUGGCCUCGAAGGUUCGUGGCAACACGGAUCGCAGAUGGAUGGUCACCGGCUGGCAACAGUCACAGAAUCCGGCUUAGAGGCCAGCUCAUCCC
rnacentral:RNase_P_RNA from 1 species